GUUAGGAAUAUUGGACAAUGGGCGCAAGCCUGAUCCAGCCAUGCCGCGUGAACGAUGAAGGCCUUCGGGUUGUAAAGUUCUUUAGCCGAUGAUUAUAAUGACUGUAGUCGGAAAAUAAGCCCCGGCUAACUUCGUGCCAGCAGCCGCGGUAAUACGAAGGGGGCGAGCGUUAUUCGGAAUCACUGGGCGUAAAGCGUGCGUAGGCGGUCUCGUAAGUUAGGAGUGAAAGCCCAGGGCUCAACCUUGGAAUUGCUCUUAAUACUGCAAGGCUAGAAUCUCGGAGAGGAUAGCGGAAUUUCCAGUGUAGCAGUGAAAUGCGUAGAUAUUGGAAGGAACACCAGUGGCGUAAGCGGCUAUCUGGACGAGUAUUGACGCUGAGGCACGAAAGCGUGGGGAUCAAACAGGAUUAGAUACCCAGUAGUCC
rnacentral:rRNA from 1 species